GACGAACGCUGGCGGCGUGCUUAACACAUGCAAGUCGAGCGCUGAAGCUUCUUUCGGGGGGUGGAUGAGCGGCGAACGGGUGAGUAACACGUGGGUGACCUGCCCCCUACUCUGGGAUAAGCCUGGGAAACUGGGUCUAAUACCGGAUAUGACCUUUCCUCGCAUGGGGUUGGGUGGAAAGUUUUUUCGGUGGGGGAUGGGCCCGCGGCCUAUCAGCUUGUUGGUGGGGUGAUGGCCUACCAAGGCGACGACGGGUAGCCGGCCUGAGAGGGCGUCC
rnacentral:rRNA from 1 species